rnacentral:rRNA from 1 species
GAUGAACGCUGGCGGCGUGCCUAACACAUGCAAGUCGAGCGAUUUACUUCGGUAAAGAGCGGCGGACGGGUGAGUAACGCGUGGGUAACAUGCCCUGUACACACGGAUAACAUACCGAAAGGUAUGCUAAUACGAGAUAAUAUACUUUUAUCGCAUGGUAGAAGUAUCAAAGCUUUUGCGGUACAGGAUGGACCCGCGUCUGAUUAGCUAGUUGGUAAGGUAACGGCUUACCAAGGCGACGAUCAGUAGCCGACCUGAGAGGGUGAUCGGCCACAUUGGAACUGAGACACGGUCCAAGCUCCUACGGGAGGCAGCAGUGGGGAAUAUUGCACAAUGGGCGAAAGCCUGAUGCAGCAACGCCGCGUGAGCGAUGAAGGCCUUCGGGUCGUAAAGCUCUGUCCUCAAGGAAGACAAUGACGGUACUUGAGGAGGAAGCCCCGGCUAACUACGUGCCAGCAGCCGCCGUAA